rnacentral:rRNA from 1 species
UACGGGGGGCGCAAGCGUUAUUCGGAAUUAUUGGGCGUAAAGGGCGCGUAGGCGGUCUUAUCGGUCAGAUGUGAAAGCCCGGGGCUCAACCCUGGAAGUGCAUUUGAAACAGUAAGACUUGAGUACGGGAGAGGAAAGCGGAAUUCCUGGUGUAGAGGUGAAAUUCGUAGAUAUCAGGAGGAACACCGAUGGCGAAGGCAGCUUUCUGGACCGAUACUGACGCUGAUGCGCGAAGGCGUGGGUAGCGAACAGGAUUAGAUACCCUGGUAGUCCACGCAGUAAACGAUGUUCACUAGGUGUAGCGGAUAUUAAAAUCUGCUGUGCCCAAGCUAACGCAUUAAGUGAACCGCCUGGGGAGUACGGUCGCAAGACUAAA